rnacentral:snoRNA from 17 species
UUGCAUGUGGAAAUGUCUGCCCCUCAUUUCUUCAGGGGCAGGAAUGCAUCCAUAACAUGCUACAUUAACAAAGAGGUUCUCAGGGCUGCCAGCCUUAUAGUAGAGGCUGAGUGGUAGUAUAUUUCUCCUACAUAA